rnacentral:rRNA from 1 species
AGAGUUGAUCCUGGCUCAGGAUGAACGCUAGCGACAGGCUUAACACAUGCAAGUCGAGGGGCAGCAUAAAAGUAGCAAUACUUGGUGGCGACCGGCGCACGGGUGAGUAACGCGUAUGCAACCUACCUAUCAGAGGGGAAUAACCGGCGAAAGUCGGACUAAUACCGCAUAAAACAGGGGCACCGCAUGGUGAUAUUUGUUAAAGAAAUUCGCUGAUAGAUGGGCAUGCGUUCCAUUAGGUAGUUGGUGAGGUAACGGCUCACCAAGCCGACGAUGGAUAGGGGAACUGAGAGGUUGGUCCCCCACACUGGUACUGAGACACGGACCAGACUCCUACGGGAGGCAGCAGUGAGGAAUAUUGGUCAAUGGGCGGGAGCCUGAACCAGCCAAGUCGCGUGAAGGAAGAAGGAUCUAUGGUUCGUAAACUUCUUUUGCAGGGGAAUAAAGUGCAGGACGUGUCCUGUUUUGUAUGUACCCUGAGAAUAAGGAUCGGCUAACUCCGUGCCAGCCGCAGC